UACGUAGGGUGCAAGCGUUGUCCGGAAUUAUUGGGCGUAAAGAGCUCGUAGGCGGUCUGUCACGUCGGCUGUGAAAACCCGAGGCUCAACCUCGGGCCUGCAGUCGAUACGGGCAAACUAGAGUACUGCAGGGGAGACUGGAAUUCCUGGUGUAGCGGUGAAAUGCGCAGAUAUCAGGAGGAACACCCGUGGCGAAGGCGGCUCUCUGGGACGGUACUGACGCUGAGACGCGAAAGCGUGGGGAGCGAACAGG
rnacentral:rRNA from 1 species